rnacentral:rRNA from 1 species
UACGUAGGGGGCAAGCGUUGUCCGGAUUCAUUGGGCGUAAAGAGCUCGUAGGCGGCUUGGCAAGUCGGAUGUGAAAACUCCAGGCUCAACCUGGAGCCGCCAUUCGAUACUGCUAUGGCUAGAGUCCGGUAGGGGAGUGUGGAAUUCCCGGUGUAGCGGUGAAAUGCGCAGAUAUCGGGAGGAACACCGAUGGCGAAGGCAGCACUCUGGGCCGGCACUGACGCUGAGGAGCGAAAGCGUGGGGAGCGAACAGG